UAAGUUACUGAUUGAUGCCAAACUCAAUUUGACGGAAGUUGGUAAUACUGUUCUGCUAGAGGGCAGAAGAGGUUGAUGGAAUUCUGUGAGGAGCGGUGAAAUGCGUUGAUCUGCAGAGGAACACCAAAAAAGGCGAAGGCAUUCAACUAUUCUGUUCCUGACAUUGAGGCAUGAAAGCGUGGGGAGCAAACCGGAUUAGAUACCCGGGUAGUCCACGCCCUAAACGAUGAGCAUUAGAUAUUAGACGUUAAGUUUAGUGUCGCCGCUAACGCUGUAAAUGCUCCGCCUGGGUACUACGGCCGCAAGGCUAAAACUCAAAGGAAUUGACGGGGACCCGCACAAGCGGUGGAGCAUGUGGUUCAAUUCGAUACGACGCGCAGAACCUUACCAAGGCUUGACAUGGAGGGCAAAGUUGAAGAAAUUCAACAGAGGUUAUCCCGACACAGGUGGUGCAUGGUCGUCGUCAGUUCGUGCUGUGAAGCGUAUGCUUAAGUGCUAUAACGAACGCAACCCUCAUAUUUAGUUGCUACCAUUCAGUUGAGAACUCUAAAUAGACUGCUAAGAAAACUUAGAGGAAGGUGAGGAUGACGUCUGAUCAUC
rnacentral:rRNA from 1 species